rnacentral:rRNA from 1 species
GUUGAACGCUGGCGGCAUGCCUUACACAUGCAAGUCGAACGGUAACAGGUCUUCGGAUGCUGACGAGGGCGAACGGGUGAGUAAUACAUCGGAACGUGCCCGAGAGUGGGGGAUAACGAGGCGAAAGCUUUGCUAAUACCGCAUACGAUCUCAGGAUGAAAGCAGGGGACCGCAAGGCCUUGCGCUCACGGAGCGGCCGAUGGCAGAUGAGGUAGUUGGUGGGAUAAAAGCUUACCAAGCCGACGAUCUGUAGCUGGUCUGAGAGGACGACCAGCCACACUGGGACUGCGACACGGCCCAGACUCCUACGGGAGGCAGCAGUGGGGAAUAUUGGACAAUGGGCGCAAGCCUGAUCCAGCCAUGCCGCGUGCAGGAUGAAGGCCUUCGGGUUGUAAACUGCUUUUGUACGGAACGAAAAGACUCCUUCUAAUAAAGGGGGUCCAUGACGGUACCGUAAGAAUAAGCACCGGCUAACUACGUGCCAGCAGCCGCGGUAAAAC